UGGCGGACGGGUGAGUAAUGUCUGGAAACUGCCCGAUGGAGGGGGAUAACUACUGGAAACGGUAGCUAAUACCGCAUAACGUCGCAAGACCAAANAGGGGGACCUUCGGGCCUCUUGCCAUCGGAUGUGCCCAGAUGGGAUUAGCUAGUAGGUGGGGUAAAGGCUCACCUAGGCGACGAUCCCUAGCUGGUCUGAGAGGAUGACCAGCCACACUGGAACUGAGACACGGUCCAGACUCCUACGGGAGGCAGCAUG
rnacentral:rRNA from 1 species